rnacentral:rRNA from 1 species
GAUGAACGCUGGCGGCGUGCUUAACACAUGCAAGUCGAACGGAAAGGCCAGUGCUUGCACUGGUACUCGAGUGGCGAACGGGUGAGUAACACGUGGGUGAUCUGCCCUGCGCUUCGGGAUAAGCCUGGGAAACUGGGUCUAAUACCGGAUAGGACAAUGGUUUGGAUGCCGUUGUGGAAAGUUUUUUCGGUGUGGGAUGAGCUCGCGGCCUAUCAGCUUGUUGGUGGGGUAAUGGCCUACCAAGGCGUCGACGGGUAGCCGGCCUGAGAGGGUGUACGGCCACAUUGGGACUGAGAUACGGCCCAGACUCCUACGGGAGGCAGCAGUGGGGAAUAUUGCACAAUGGGCGCAAGCCUGAUGCAGCGACGCCGCGUGGGGGAUGACGGCCUUCGGGUUGUAAACUCCUUUCGCUAGGGACGAAGCGUAUUUGUGACGGUACCUGGAGAAGAAGCACCGGCUAACUACGUG